rnacentral:rRNA from 1 species
ACACUGUUCAUGGGUUACCGCGGCUGCUGGCACGGAGUUAGCCGGUGCUUCUUCUGUGAGUGAUGUCCUUCCUGCCGGUUAUUGACCCGCAGGCCUUCUUCCUCACUGAAAGUGCUUUACAACCCGAAGGCCUUCUUCACACACGCGGCAUGGCUGGAUCAGGGUUGCCCCCAUUGUCCAAUAUUCCCCACUGCUGCCCUCCCGUAGGAGUCUGGGCCGUGUCUCAGUCCCAGUGUGGCUGAUCAUCCUCUCAGACCAGCUACGGAUCGUCGCCUUGGUGAGCCGUUACCUCACCAACCAGCUAAUCCGACAUAGGCUCAUCCGAUAGCGCGAGGCCCGAAGGUCCCCCGCUUUCCCCCGUAGGGCGUAUGCGGUAUUAGGCCUGGGUUUCCCCAGGUUAUCCCCGACUACCGGGCAGAUUCCAAUGCAUUACUCACCCGUCCGCCGCUCGCCACCAGGGAGCAAGCUCCCCGUGCUGCCGCUCGACUUGCAUGUGUUAGGCCUG